AGUACAGAAAAAUGACCAGAAAAUUAUUUAAUUUACAAAAAAACCUAAACCAAAAAAAAAAAAAAAAAACAGGACGAAGAAGAAAAUAUGUAGUUACAAUAGCUCUGAAUAAAGUUUUCCCCAGCUUACAUUUUUUUAUAAAACCAAUGAAAGAGGAAAUUACCCAAAAUUUGUAAAAGUGCCCCCCAGGAGAAGUCCCUGAUCCGGUGUCUCUGUAUCUAAAGGCAGAAAACUGCAGGAGCUGUAAGAUCAUCUGUGGUAAAAAGAGUUUCGGUUCCACGUUUAGCUGAAAAUAAAAUGAAAAUUUUGACUUGACGCCUCUCAGACAUCACUGGAGAUAGUACAAGUUGUAUUUUUAUGUGCAAAUACUGUAAAAUAACCAGUAAAAUAAAGACAUCAGCAUGCGCUCCGCGCUGACGGAUGUUUGCGCCCCUCAGUGCGGUGAGAUGAGGUUUUUCUCGGGUCUCCGCAGGGAAACCAGAGCACCCGUGAGCCGCCGCACCGAGCCUGCGUGUCAUCGCCGCGUGAACGCCUCCACAUAGUUUCGCGGAGCGCGGCCCGCCAACAGGAUCCAGGAUCGGCGGCAGACGCGUGACCGGAGGUAUGUGACGAUGCAGGUCGACACGGAGUCCCCAAACCCAUCAGAGGGAGAGAUCAGCGCGCAGCAGCCUCGAGAUGAGAGGACAGCUGUGCAGCAGAAAACCUUCACCAGGUGGAUGAACGUGUUCCUUCAGAGAGUGAGACACGAUACAGCUC